rnacentral:tRNA from 1 species
GCUCCCGUAGCCCAAUGGCAGAGGCAGGCGACUUAAAAUCGCUCCAGGUGCGGGUUCGACUCCCGUCGGGAGCA